AAAUCAUUGAGAGUCGUCUUAUUGAAUCAUUGAUAUGAUAUUAUGCUCUCGUAAUUGCUUGUCAUCAUCUUUUAUCCUAGCUUCUCCAUUUGUAUUGAAAGUGCAUUGCGUUAAAGAUAUGCUCUUCAGUUGUUACAACUUUAGACAAGGGAAGCCUGGACAGAAGCUAGAGCAAGGACAACAAGGGAGAUUUUAUGCAUUGGGGUCACAAAAUACAGAGUCAAAUGCCUUAGUGGAAGAUGCAGGCUAGGAAACCUAUGCAGGAAAUAAUGCUUGAGCAAUGCUUUAUGGUGAUUGGAUGUUGUUUGCUCAAUUGAAAGUCUUUUGAGGCUUUGUCUUUGUAUUAAAGGCUGAAUCUUUUUGUAGGAAUGAUGUAAUAUAUAUAAUUAUCGAGUACACUUGUAGUAAGGGCUACCUGUAGUGAACAAGGGGGUUUUGAUAUAUGUAAAUUAACGUAGUAUAAGUUUCUUUUAAGAAACGAACCAUAUUUUAUUAAC